AUUGAACGCUGGCGGCAUGCCUUACACAUGCAAGUCGAACGGUAACAGGUCUUCGGAUGCCGACGAGUGGCGAACGGGUGAGUAAUACAUCGGAACGUGCCCGAUCGUGGGGGAUAACGAAGCGAAAGCUUUGCUAAUACCGCAUAAGAUCUAAGGAUGAAAGCAGGGGACCGCAAGGCCUUGCGCGAACGGAGCGGCCGAUGGCAGAUUAGGUAGUUGGUGGGAGAAAAGCUUACCAAGCCGACGGUCUGUAGCUGGCCUGAGAGGACAACCAGCCACACUGGAGCUGAGUCACGGCCCAGACUCCUACGGUAGGCAGCAGGGGGGACUUUUGGACAAUGAGCGACAGCCUGAACCAGCCAUGCCGCGUACAGGAUGAGGGCCUUCGGGUUGUAAACUGCUUUUGUACGGAACCAAAAGACUCUUGCUAAUAAAGAGGGUCCAUGACGGUACCGUAAGAAUAAGCACCGGCUAACUACGUGCCAGCCGCCGCAGUAA
rnacentral:rRNA from 1 species